rnacentral:rRNA from 1 species
UACAGAGGUCUCAAGCGUUGUUCGGAUUCAUUGGGCGUAAAGAGCUCGUAGGCGGUCGGGUAAGUCGGGUGUGAAAUCUCCGGGCUCAACUCGGAGGGGCCACCCCGAUACUGCACGACUCGAGUCCGGUAGGGGAGUGGGGAAUUCCUGGUGUAGCGGUGAAAUGCGCAGAUAUCAGGAGGAACACCGGUGGCGAAGGCGCCACUCUGGGCCGGUACUGACGCUGAGGAGCGAAAGCGUGGGUAGCAAACAGG